CUCCAACCCAGUGGGGAAGGGGAAAGCUAUUGAUUAAAACAAAAACUAUUUUGAGUUUUUGUUAUUAUGAGUUGAGCUCCUUAAUGAAGUUUUUCUAUUAUGGCUAUAUUGGCUGCACCCUAAAUGGGGUGUCCUGGGUGAACCAAAUGCUGGUGUAGGGAAAGGAAUGGGAAUGUUGAGGGGAUGGGAAGAGGCAUCAAGAACAGGAAUAUAAUUUUCCUACAGUGCUGUUCUGCUGAGACUACAGAGUACCUCAGGGAGUCAUGCAUCCUCUUCCUGUUGCUUUACUGAAUCUUAAAGAGUGAUACAGUACUAAUGAUGCCAUUCUAGCAACUGGAGCAGCUUCAGGGGAGAGAGCACAUUAAGGGUGCUGGGAUGGUAAUGGUUGGGAGGAAGCUGAAUGGUAGUAAGAGAGACAUUCUGUCCUGAGAACUCUGAUCCACUUGAUGCAGAUGAGCAGGUAACCAUGGAAGUCGUGAGCUGAGGCUGCAGAGUCUAGAGCCAGAGUGUGGAAUAAACUUGGGUCUCAAAUCACCCCUGGAGCAAAGCACCCAUCUAAUCAGGAACUUCUACUUUCAACUUUACAUGCGUGAGAAAUGAACUUCUAUCAUGUUAGAGAAAUCCUUACACGGCGCCCUUGAGAGCUUUCAUACUGCAAGUCAUCCAUUUUCCUCCCCUCAAACCUGGCAUCGGAGUUUAUUGAAACAAAGCAAAAUAAAACAAAUAGACAAAGCUCUACCUCCAUCACUUCUGCAGUCUACAUUAACCCCACGUCCAGAAUAUUCACACCUCAGGUCUUUUUCUCACAAUUGAAACACUGGUUCAGAGCCUAACGGAAGGUCUUGGAGGUAAAAACACAACUUGGGGCAACUUUUCCAUUCUGUUCUGCAUGACCCCAAUGGGACUUCUCAGAAACCCCUCUCAUGAAUUAAACUUUGUUCUGUCUAGAGCAUUAGAAUAAGCUUAUGGGCACCUGCCAGGAGAUUAUAAAGUGGGCCAUUUAAAAGAUGACAGAUAUUGAGCACCCUUGACCCUGUAGAAAGAGUGUACCUACUUGCUUUCCCUAGGGCCCUUAAUGGUUUAUAAAAACAAGCACUCACUGAUUCAAAAAAUAUCCUCAUUCCACAGUCUUGCCAUGCCUUCUUUCUGAGCACAUGGCAGUCAGUCUCUAGCACAUCCAGUGUAAGAUAGAACAGAGAUCCCAGGCCACCCUGUGGGAAGGGGUAGAGAAAUGCAAUACAUUUCACAGGAAGUAGAAACCUAGAAAGACCACACAAAAAAACCCCUGCUUUAUGGCAAAGCCAAAGAAUAUUUGUGAAGAUUCCCCGUAAACCAUUAAAUCUGACACAAGUGUCAGAGUAGGAUCACUGUUAACACUUGUUUUUACUAACAAUAAGUGCGUUGUUGCUGACCCUGGCAGAGGAGAACAGAGAGUUCUCGGCAGGGCUUCCAAUACAGAAAACACCUGCCAGGGUGUCUCUGGGUUCCCUCACCCUGGCCAGUCUCUCCAGCUUGCCCACAUCCCUGCCCCAGAGUGGGAACUGUCCCUACUUGCCCGUCUGUAUUCCUGGGCGUCGUUCACUCGGUUGAGUCUCAGCACAUAGCCAUCCUUUCUGUCUUUG
rnacentral:lncRNA from 10 species